UACAGAGGGUGCGAGCGUUGUUCGGAAUUAUUGGACGUAAAGAGCUCGUAGGCGGCUUGUCGCGUCUGCCGUGAAAACCCGAGGCUUAACCUCGUGGCUUGCGGUGGAUACGGGCAGACUAGAGGUAGGUAGGGGAGAAUGGAAUUCCCGGUGUAGCGGUGAAAUGCGCAGAUAUCGGGAGGAACACCGGUGGCGAAGGCGGCUCUCUGGGACGGUACUGACGCUGAGACGCGAAAGCGUGGGGAGCGAACAGG
rnacentral:rRNA from 1 species